rnacentral:rRNA from 1 species
CAGUCGCCGCGGGAAUACGAAGGGGGCUAGCGCUGCUCGGAAUUACUGGGCGUAAAGGGCGCGUAGGCGGACAGUUCAGUCGGGGGUGAAAGCCCGGGGCUCAACCUCGGAAUUGCCUUCGAUACUGGCUGUCUUGAGUAUGAGAGAGGUGUGUGGAACUCCGAGUGUAGAGGUGAAAUUCGUAGAUAUUCGGAAGAACACCAGUGGCGAAGGCGACACACUGGCUCAUUACUGACGCUGAGGCGCGAAAGCGUGGGGAGCAAACAGGAUUAGAUACCCGAGUAGUCCCUGUCUCUUAUAA